rnacentral:rRNA from 1 species
AUCGAACGCUGGCGGCAGGCUUAACACAUGCAAGUCGAACGAGUGGCGGACGGGAGAGUAAUGCUUGGGACUCUAGCUUAUGGAGGGGGAUAACUACGGGAAACUGUAGCUAAUACCGCGUACCAUAGGAUGAGCCCAAGUGGGAUGAGGUAGUUGGUGAGGCAAAGGCUCACCAAGCCGACGAGCUCUAGCUGGUCUGAGAGGAUGACCGGCCACACUGGGACUGAGACACGGCCCAGACUCCUACGAGAGGAAGCGGUGGGGAAUAUGGCGCAAUGGGGGCAACCUGACGCAGCCAUGCCGCGUGAAUGAAGAAGGCCUUCGGGUUGUAAAGGUCUUUCGGUAGCGAGGCGUUAACUCCAGAAGAAGCACCGGCUAACUCCGUGCCAGCCACCGCGGUAAUAC